AAAAGCCGGCUAAAAAUCAUCGUGUUGUCAUUUUCGGGGUCGAUUGAACAGUAAUAAUGCGUCUCCUGGACCACACAAUUAAUUUCCAGCAACAAAGCUCGUAGGACACGCACGUCCUAAAAUCCAGGCGCCCCGUCAUCUCUUAAACACUCCUCCUUUUUUCAAAAGGGGAAGCCGCAUGGAAAAUAAUCAGCAGAACAUCCCAUAGUUUUGAAUGGAGAGCAACAGAUGUCUGACAGAAGAAAAGGCUGGUGGACCACCCCCAAACCCUCUCCCUUAUGCUCUGCUAAAGGAACCAUUUAGGUGGUUACCAUGGCACUGAUAAGACACUUUCAUCCAUUCUGCGCACUGCGUGCAUGCUGAUGCUAGAUCAUCAUUCCGUUCUGCAGAAAUGACAGGGGCUGCCGGCCCCUCAGCUCACGUAAGGGAAGCGCAACUCUGGCCAUAUUAAUCACAUUCUUUGCAAUGUUCUUUGCAGAAUUCCUAACACUGGUAACAUAAAACUAAUUACCAGUUGAGCAGUAUAGAAGUCUCAUUCGGAGCUGCAGAAGGUGCUUGAUUGCAGUUAUUGUCUGAAGAUGGUGUGCUGCAAAACAUUAGGUUUUAUCAGUGCCAU